UACGUAGGGUGCAAGCGUUAAUCGGAAUUACUGGGCGUAAAGCGUGCGCAGGCGGUUGGGAAAGUCAGCUGUGAAAGCCCCGGGCUUAACCUGGGAAUGGCGGUUGAAACUACUCGACUAGAAUCUGGCAGAGGGGGGUGGAAUUCCACGUGUAGCAGUGAAAUGCGUAGAGAUGUGGAGGAACACCGAUGGCGAAGGCAGCCCCCUGGGCUGAGAUUGACGCUCAGGCACGAAAGCGUGGGGAGCAAACAGG
rnacentral:rRNA from 1 species